UACGUAGGGUGCAAGCGUUAAUCGGAUUUACUGGGCGUAAAGCGCACGUAGGCGGCUUUGCAAGUUAGAGGUGAAAGCCUGGGGCUCAACUCCAGAACUGCCUUUAAAACUGCAUCGCUUGAAUCCAGGAGAGGUGAGUGGAAUUCCGAGUGUAGGAGGUGAAAUUCGUAGAUAUUCGGAAGAAACACCAGUGGCGAAGGCGGCUAUCGUGGA
rnacentral:rRNA from 1 species